rnacentral:misc_RNA from 1 species
AUUUGAUAAGAUUCCGCCUUUGGUUGAGAUUUACAGUUUGAGAAGUAGGGGUUGGAGAAAGGUUGAUAAUAAUGAUCUGAAAUAUGUCAUCGCUGAUUUGUCAACGUCUGCUUUUCUGAAUGGAACUUGUCAUUGGGUUGCCACUAAGCCACCUAAUGGGCCUGGUGCAUGCGAUGCGAUUGUGUCGUUUUCUUUGGGAGAAGAGGUGUUUGGGGAAAUGGAGGU